CGCAUAGGCUGGAUAGAAUAUCAAACACAAAGACAAAAUAUGUGUUUCUCUCUUCCUGCAAGUAUCAGACCUUCAAUUCUCACACGCUCUCCACCAUUCUUUCCCUUUCAUCAUCAUCUUCUUCUUCCUCCUUCCCUCUUUAUCCCUCUGUAUUCAUUCCAUUUCGAGCUAGGUUUCAAAAAACCCAAAACAACACUUCUGUAUCUCACUUUCUGACUGAAACACAUAUCAUAGUCACAUCUUUGCAUAAAAAUCCAAUUCCUAUUCAAGAAACACAAAUCUCUCACAAGAAACACAGAUCCUACGGUGGUGCUUGAUUUCUAAACCUAAUCCGACGGUAUAUAGAAGAAUUCACACGGAUCUCUCUUUGAAUUUGGCUUCCUUUUCUGCACAUUGAGUCUCGGGUGAUUGGGUGAAAUCUAUAAAGGCAUACCAGAUCCCUUUCAUUCUCCAUUGUAGAUCUGGUUGUAUUCUCUGGGUAAAGGUUAUUGAAGGAAGCUUUGUGAUUAUUUGAAUAAAUCAGUUUAGUGACAAAGAUCAUUAUUGUUAAUGCCUUGGUAAAAUAUUCGUUACAAUGAAACAAUUUCCUACAAAUAUUAUUGCAUUGUUUUUUAUUUGCUUAUAGAUAAUCAACUUAAUAUGUGUUUGUAAAUAAGGUGAAAUAAAUAUGGUGGUCUGAGAUUUUGGUA